UGUAAGUACUAAACAGAACGACCCGAGAACGUUGAAACAUCACUCUCGGUGGGCCGGUUUCUUACUGAUUUCGUGCCUACCGAUUCCGUGGUUAUGCGUUCGUCACCGGCCCAGUUUCGGUUGGAUCAUACGCAUAGCUUCCGGAUAUCACCAAACCCCGGCACGAAAAGUGUCAAGGAACAUUCAACUAAACGGCCUGGUUUCGCCAACCCCGAAACGGUGUUUGUUCGGAAGCAGUGCUGCAAUGUAAAGUCUAAAACGACUCUCGGCAACGGAUAUCUCGGCUCUCGCAUCGAUGAAGAACGUAGCGAAAUGCGAUACUUGGUGUGAAUUGCAGAAUCCCGUGAACCAUCGAGUCUUUGAACGCAAGUUGCGCCCCAAGCCUUCUGGCCGAGGGCACGUCUGCCUGGGUGUCACAAAUCGUCGUCCCCCCAUCCUCUCGAGGAUAUCGGACGGAAGCUGGUCUCCCGUGUGUUACCGCACGCGGUUGGCCAAAAUCCUAGCUAAGGAUGCCAGGAGCGUCUUGACAUGGCGUGGUGAAUUCAAUUCUCGUCAAAUCGUCAGUCGUUUCGGUCCGAAAGCUCUUGAUGAACCAAAGUCCUCAACGCGACCCCAGGUCAGGCGGGAUCACCCGCUGAGUUUAAGCAUAUCCAU
rnacentral:rRNA from 1 species